CCCGUAGGCGGUGUGGUAAGUCGAUAGUGAAAUCUCUGGGCUUAACCCAGAGGCUGCUAACGAAACUGCCAUGCUAGAGUGUGAGAGAGGCGAGUGGAAUUACGGGUGUAGCGGUGAAAUGCGUAGAUAUCCGUAGGAACAUCCGAGGCGAAGGCGGCUCGCUGGAUCACAACUGACGCUGAGGGACGAAAGCUAGGGGAGCAAACAGGAUUAGAUACCCUGGUAGUCCUAGCCCUAAACCAUCAGGACUUGGGGUUUGCCCUGUACGGGGCAAGUCCCGUAGCUAACGCGUUAAGUCCUGCGCCUGGGGAGUACGGUCGCAAGGCUGAA
rnacentral:rRNA from 1 species